GAGCAUAUGAUGACUACAUAUGAUUCUUAUGAUACAUUUGAUGUUACAAAAUUGAGCUUUUUAGAACUGAUGCCAG